UAGAGGUUCAGUAUGAUGUUCUUUAAUAGAGGUUCAGUAUGAUGUUCUUUAAUAGAGGUUCAGUAUGAUGUUCUGUUAAUAGAGGUUCAGUAUGAUGUUCUGUUAAUAGAGGUUCAGUAUGAUGUUCUGUUAAUAGAGGUUCAGUAUGAUGUUCUGUUAAUAGAGGUUCAGUAUGAUGUUCUGUUAAUAGAGGUUCAGUAUGAUGUUCUGUUAAUAGAGGUUCAGUAUGAUGUUCUGUUAAUAGAGGUUCAGUAUGAUGUUCUGUUAAUAGAGGUUCAGUAUGAUGUUCUGUUAAUAGAGGUUCAGUAUGAUGUUCUGUUAAUAGAGGUUCAGUAUGAUGUUCUGUUAAUAGAGGUUCAGUAUGAUGUUCUGUUAAUAGAGGUUCAGUAUGUUCUGUUAAUA